AUUGAACGCUGGCGGCGUGCUUAACACAUGCAAGUCGAACGGGAGUAUUGAAGAAGCUUGCUUUAGAGAUACUUUAGUGGCGGACGGGUGAGUAACGCGUGAGGAGCUGUCCUAUGCAGGGGGACAACAGUUGGAAACGACUGCUAAUACCCCAUAAGCCGAGAGGUAAAAGGAAUUAUCCGGCAGAGGAGGUACUCGCGUCCUAUCAGCUAGUAGGUGAGGGAACGGCUCACCUAGGCGAAGACGGGUAGCCGGCCUGAGAGGGCGAACGGCCACACUGGAACUGAGAUACGGUCGAGACUCCUACGGGAGGCAGCAGUGGGGAAUAUUGGGCAAUGGGGGCAACCCUGACCCAGCGACGCCGCGUGGGUGAAGAAAUCCCUCGGGAUGUAAAGCCCUGUUGUAUGGGAAGAGCAGAAGACGGUACCAUACGAGGAAGCCCCGGCAAACUACGUGCCAGCAGCCGCGGUAAAAC
rnacentral:rRNA from 1 species